GAUGAAGAACGCAGCGAACGUGCGAAACGUAAUGUGAAUUGCAGAAUUCAGUGAAUCAUCGAAUCUUUGAACGCAUCUUGCGCUCCUUGGUAUUCCGAGGAGCAUGCCUGUUUGAGUGUCGUGAAUACUCUCAACUUCAACCCUUUUUUCGGAAAGGGAGGAAGGUUGGACUUGGGUGUUUGUUGAAGUGCGAGCUUCGACUCAUCCUAAAUGCAUUAGCGAUCUGCCUCGAUCACACACAAUGUGAUAAUUAAAACUAAAGCAUUGUUUAAUGAUCAAGUCGAGACUGCUUCUAACUGUCGCAAGACAAUAACGUGCAUACAUUUGUGAAUGUCAUUUGACCUCAAAUCAGGUAGGACUACCCGCUGAACUUAAGCAUAUCAAUAAGCGGAGGA
rnacentral:misc_RNA from 1 species